GGUCCAGUAGCAUAAUGGUAAUGCAUCAGCAAUACAUGUUGUAGAAUCACUGUUGUCCCUGACUACCCUUGUUCAAUUCAAGGCUGGACCG